CAGAGGGUGCGAGCGUUAAUCGGAAUUACUGGGCGUAAGCGCGCGUAGGCGGCUUUGCAAGUCGGGUGUGAAAUCCCCAGGCUUAACCUGGGAACUGCAUUCGAGACUGCAUUGCUAGAGUAUGGGAGAGGGAAGUGGAAUUUCCGGUGUAGCGGUGAAAUGCGUAGAUAUCGGAAGGAACAUCAGUGGCGAAAGCGACUUUCUGGACCAAUACUGACGCUCAUGUGCGAAAGCGUGGGGAGCAAACAGGAUUAGAUACCCUGGUAGUCCACGCCAUAAACGAUGACAACUGGAUGUCGGGAGGGUCUGCCUCCCGGUGUCGUAGCUAACGCGUUAAGUUGUCCGCCUGGGGAGUACGGCCGCAAGGUUG
rnacentral:rRNA from 1 species